CCUCCGGGGUGCAGCAGUGGGGAAUAUUGCACAAUGGGGGGAACUCUGAUGCAGCGACGCCGCGUGAGUGAAGCAGUAAUUCGUUAUGUAAAGCUCUAUCAGCAGGGAAGAAAGUGACGGUACCUGAAAAAGAAGCUCCGGCUAACUACGUGCCAGCAGCCGCGGUAAUACGUAGGGGGCAAGCGUUAUCCGGAUUUACUGGGUGUAAAGGGAGAGUAGAUGGCAGAGCAAGUCCGAAGUGAAAGCCCAGAGCGCAACUCUGGGAAUGCUUUAGAAACUGUUGAGCUAGAGUGCAGGAGAGGCAAGUGGAAUGCGUAGUGUAGCGGUGAAAUGCGUAGAUAGUAGGAGGAACACCAGUGGCGAAGGCGGCUUGCUGGACUGUAACUGACGCUGAGGCUCGAAAGCGUGGGGAGCAAACAGGAUUAGAUACCCGGGUAGUC
rnacentral:rRNA from 1 species